rnacentral:rRNA from 1 species
GUGGGGAAUCUUGCGCAAUGGGCGAAAGCCUGACGCAGCCAUGCCGCGUGAAUGAUGAAGGUCUUAGGAUUGUAAAAUUCUUUCACCGGGGACGAUAAUGACGGUACCCGGAGAAGAAGCUCCGGCUAACUUCGUGCCAGCAGCCGCGGUAAUACGAAGGGGGCUAGCGUUGCUCGGAAUUACUGGGCGUAAAGGGCGCGUAGGAGGACAGCUUAGUCAGAGGUGAAAGCCCAGGGCUCAACCUUGGACUGUCCUUGGAUACUGGCUGUCUUGAUUUUGGGCGAGGGAGUGGAACUCCGAGUGUAGAGGUGAAAUUCGUAGAUAUUCGGAAGAACACCAGUGGCGAAGGCGACUCACUGGCCCAAUACUGACGCUGAGGCGCGAAAGCGUGGGGAGCAAACAGGAUUAGAUACCCUUGUAGUCC